rnacentral:sRNA from 1 species
UGUACCGAUUGACUGGGAAACUCAUCAAUUAUUAUCGAAAACCGAGUAAAGCUCUUAUGUAUGUGUCCAAUGGCGGGCCGCGCCUUCGGGUAGUUUUUAGAACCGGCGGAUUACAAAGGACAGGAGCCCUCAAAUCUUGUAUUCUCGGAGUUUCGUCGUGCUCUUCGUACAG